rnacentral:rRNA from 1 species
UACGAAGGGAGCUAGCGUUGUUCGGAAUUACUGGGCGUAAAGGGCGCGUAGGCGGCUUAGCAAGUUGGAUGUGAAAGCCCAGGGCUCAACCCUGGAAUUGCAUUCAAGACUGCUUUGCUUGAAUUCGGUAGAGGUUGGUGGAAUUCCCAGUGUAGAGGUGAAAUUCGUAGAGAUUGGGAAGAACACCAGUGGCGAAGGCGGCCAACUGGACCGACAUUGACGCUGAGGCGCGAAAGCGUGGGGAUCAAACAGG